rnacentral:piRNA from 1 species
UGAAUUGAUGAUCCUUUGUGUU